GAAAAAAAAAAGAGUUGAUUUGAAGUUGGAGGCAUGGCUCAGUUGAUCAAAUGCUAGCCAAUGAGUGAAAGCAGCUGCAGCUACCAAGUUUGAGGCCUGGUCUCAGGCCGAGAAAUGAAAAAAGAAAAGAAUGGCCUUGGAGUUGAAUGGAAAUAAUAAUUAUAUGUAUAUGUUGACAAAUCUCAGUGAACCCCUACACUUCAAUUUCUCCUGGAAUUCAUAGGUAAUCUAUAUAUAGGUUUGUUUUUCCAGUCUAGAGUGUCUGAGCUAACCCUCUCCAAGAGUUUAUAGAAUACCUAAUUUAUCUGUUUGGGAUCCCAAGAAGCAACACACUGGACUAAAGUGUGGCUAAAAGAAAGGACUUUAUAACAAAGGAGAUGGAAAAAUAGACACAGGACAACAAGAUAGACUGUUCCUACCCUAUAAUAUCAUCUGGAAUCUGCUCUGGACUUGGAGGGGGUACCCUUAAAGAUUCAGUAUAUACUAUGAUGUGGUGGUCAUUCUGUGGAUCUGGGUCCAAAUAGCUAAAAAACAUGGUUUA